GCCAAUUUUGCAUCAAGCUCCCAAUAUUGCUUAAAGUUUCAAUUACAAUACCUUUGCUAAGUAUUCAUUCACAUUUUUCUUUACAAUAAGUGGGUUGGGUAGCAAGAAAACAGUGGACAUUUCAUUUUAAGAUAUAACUAACACCCAAAUUUUACAUUUUUUUAAAUUUCAUAUUAUCUUACAUGUUUUCAUGUGCACUAGCAAAGAGGACUUGAGCAUCCAUCCGAAGCUAUCUCGGCAAUGUACUCAUGCAUAAAACAUUAAAACCCAUGACUGGAUUUCAAUUCUACAUGAGUACAUUGGUGAGACAGGUUUAGACUACAACUCACUUGUGUUGCAGACAUGCAAAAUUAAGGGAAAGAAGUGAUGAUCAAAUGUUUACCUGCAAAUCCAAAAUG
rnacentral:misc_RNA from 1 species